CACUUUUUUGCUACUUCUGUAGGGACGAGGGUGGGGUCCGCGGGCGAGGAGAAAGAAAAAGCCGAAGUGAAUCUGCUGUUGUUAUCGAGGCUGUUCAGUGUGACCAAAGUAAGCAGCCUGUGCCUCCCUCCGCAGCUCCAGCGCGUGAGGGUCAGGCCUGUCGGAGGCGGAGGCGUUCGGAGCCACAAGCAGGACAAGGGCACGAGCCCCGCCGCGCCAGGCCUGAGCAGACCCGGGGCGGCGGGCAUCGGUCACCAAGCAGAGGGCGAGUUAGAGGCGUGGAGCCGGGGAAGGGCGCAUGCAGGUACCCUGACCAAUGCUCCCGCCCAGGUGAAUCUCAGCACUGCCAUGAGCAUCCUUGUCUCUGCAACAAUAGACCUGCUGUUGUCUAAGAAAACCACACAGGAGUGACAAGUGAGUGGCGCGCCUCUGAGCAGUCGUGCCACUUGCCCACGGACUCACUACUCGUUGAUGGCAGUGCUGGGACUCAAAAUCAAGAAAGCCCACUCUCAGUGCUCGAGUCCUCCCAUGCUGCCCCAUGACCUACCCACCUCCAAACAACUGUUGAUUGUCCCCAAAGUUAAAUCCAUCCUUCAAGAAUGCUAUUAGCUUCCAUAGAGAGCAUUACAAAUAACGUACCACAAUUCUAUAAACAUAAUUGACAAAAAUACUUAGCAACAGUAACACCGUGUGAGUGGAAUGCCUUCCAAAGUGAGUACUUCGAAAGAGACACGAUUUCUACAUAUAAGUUCUGGUUCUUAAAACUCAGUCUUUGAUUUCUAAGUUGCACGAUGUACCCUCCACUUAUAUAUUGUUCCCGUGAGGGGCAUCAAUGUGCCAGGUUUAGUUAUUAGUUUCCUUCAGGUCAGUAUCUCACUGGAAAAAUUUGACUCAGAUCACCUUACCAAAAAAAAAAGCUAAACUUUGAUCUGUAAUUAAUUGGUGCCUCUGUUUUCACAACUGUACCUUUUUAGAUAAGACUGCCAGAUUGCCUACCUAAUUGACUCGUGUAAACCAAGAGAAACUGUAGGGGUUUUUUAAUGCAUUUUCACCACACCCCUUUUUUAAGCCACCAUUGGGGAAAAAAAUUAUAACAAUAAGACAGGACAAGAGGGCUACCAUUGUUGACCAGUCUCCUUCCCACAAUAAGAAUGUUGGACUUUGGUCUUAAAUAAUAACUUUUGUUUUACAACAUAAUUUUUGCUGUUAUCAUGUCUUCAAAUAGAAGGUAACACAGAAUUCGGAGAAACAAAGAAGUGGAUAAAAUUAAAGUUGCCCCAACUAUAAUGAGACCAGCUUCUUUGGAUAAAAAGGAGGGGGGAAAAUGAGUAUUAAAGUCUAGGAAAGGAAAAAGAUUUUCACAAAGAUCACAUUUUUUUACUGAUAUGACCAAAGUGAGAAAGAAAAUAUAUCCUCAUUAAGCAAAAGUAAAACUUGCAUGAGAUUCUGUGCAGUGUAAGAGAAUCAUUCUGGUUUUUGUUAAGCCUGCUUCUUGUCUUCAAACAGUAUCUUCCCUGGAGCACAGCCAAACCAGCGAGGAUUAUGGUGGGUACAUCAGUGCGUACAUCUGAAAGGACUGGCAGACAAUAGGAAUUGUUUGCCCCUUGGAAAUUUUUAAUCCUUCCUUCGAAACCUAUAAAUUCUGCUGCAUGUCCCUCCACUUUUAUUCUUACCAUCAGGAUGCUCUAUGUGUGCAAACAAUCCUUGAUAGAUGUUUAGCUUAGAGCUGAACUCAACAUUUGAGUCCCUUACUUGUAUGAGCUGCUCUACGAUUCAGGAGAAAAUGAAAAGACAAAAAAAAAAAUCUAAUUUCCUCUCCAUUCCUCUCAAAAGAUCUCAAACACCUUUCAAGUUUUCUUGUAUCUUAAAGUAGUGUUUCUUUCACCCCAGAAUAUCUCUCUGAACUAAAAUUGUUUAGUUAUUAAACUGUGAACUUUAAAGUUAAAUUUUAGAUCCGGGAAAAAUAUGCCGUGUACCCAGAACAUCCGGGGACAGUUAAAUGGGAGGAAUCGGAUUUCUUAAGUUUAGAGGUGCAGUUUAUAUUUCGUAGCAUGAGAUUGUGUAUGUCAUGUUGUAUGAUGGGGCUAUCUGAGGUGGCCUGGAGGUGAAGUAGAAAGUCCCUUCCCUUGUGGUUGCCUCUGACGAGGUUCUGCAAGCACCCUAGUGUCUAAAGGCAUCGGGACACUCGGUUCAUUGUGUCAAGAAAAGAAACCUCACCGCUCUGUGCACGAUCGUGUGAAUGAAUAUUCAGCACCUCCAGCUCAGAUUCAUGGCUAAUGAUCUAGAUUCUGAAUUUUCAAGGGCUAAUUGUGUGGCCUCCUCCUUGCAUGCUGCCUUUUUUUUUUUUAGUAGUUUCAUUAUUUGUUCACACCUCCAGGAGAAGAAGUGGAGAAAGAAGAUGAAACAUAAAUUCAUCAACUUUUUUCAACUACAUCCUCAUUGCCAAACUUCUCUCGUUCCAAAAGGGCUUGUGGGAGAGCACAGAACAGUUGGGGGAGCAAUCUUUUGCUGUGCCAACAAAAAUGUAACACAGGGCACGCUUCCUCACAUCAGGACCAACAGAGUCCUCUUCAAACAGAAAGACAGUAUCCGAAGUUAAUAUUUGACUAUGGCACUGAAAGAAAAAAAAAAAAAGCCUGGCUAAACCCAGGAGCCAACCAUCUGAAGGUUUCAAUUACCCAAGUGCUGACCUGAGCAGAGAGACUGCAGCACCGUGUGUGUGUGUGUGUGUGUGUGUGUGUGUGUGUGUGAUACAUACAGAGUGUACACAGCUGAAAACGGAUUGGCUCUGUUGCCUCCUUCCACAGGUAGCCUUAAACUAAGAGGCAUGAGAUUUAGUUUGUUGGUUCUUGAUGACUUUCAUAGAGUUUGCUGGCCCCAUUUUGUAAGGCCUUUUAGGAGGCACUUGGAACUAAGGCCAUACACAAGACAGCCAGUGUUUCCGAUGCCGUUACGGGUACAGUCAUGAGAAACUGAAAAUACGCCCAUGCAGAGCUUUUGUUUAUUGGUGAUGGUUUGAGGAAUACAGAGACCACAAGCAAAAUUGUGAAGUUGAGGGGACUUCUUCUUGACACAGGCCUGCCUCUCUUUUGAAUCCUCCUGUGUCCUGAUGGUACCACCCCUCACCCCCACCCCCUGUCAUAGUGCCUGGCUCCUGUCCCCAGCAAAAGAGGGGAGGACGAUCCAUCAGUACGAGUGAUAUCCAGUCCAUAAGUGACAAGCUUAAUCUCGUCCACCCCUUCGCAUUACCCUCCGUAUAAAAGCGCAAACCUCUUAGCCUGACUCCCUUGCUGCCCGCUCUACCCUCACCUUCUCUUCUCUGUCUUGUCUCCAGCCACACGAGGUUCCUUUCCUUCCACAAGCUCUGCUCCCUUUUUGCUGCUGGGCCUUUGAACACUCUGUUCUCCAUGCCGGGAACACUCUCCUCCCCUCUCCCCCAGCCAUCUCCCAGGAAGCCAGCCUUGACCCUGCAGCCUUGGUCAGCUCUGCCCCUCAAGCCCUUUCCUAGAUCACCCCUGCUUCUCCUUUGAAAGUCCCCAUGUCAGGGUUGGUCUUUCAUGUCAUGUUGUGUUCCCUCCUCAGUUAUCAGCCUGUGAGUGUCUGAGCUCUUACGUGUGUACUGCCGCAGUCCCAGCACAGAGCCUGGCCCACAGCAAGCGCCAAAUAAAUAUUUUCCAUGCUCUUAACUACACUUUAGUGUUUCCCAUGUGUUAGGGAUACCUGUUGCCCUGACCACAUCAAUUCCUUCAGGAGUCCCCUUUCCUAGUCCCUCCUCAGUGCGCAUCAAAGCAUGUGACCUUGCAUUUCAUGGCCUCAAGUAACUGGACAACUGCUAGAUAGCUGACACAGGAGAUUUCAUCCACAGGCCAACAGUGAACUGAGACUUGGGGCCUUGUUCAAAUGACAAUAUGGACCAAUCAGAUUCCUCUCUGGAAAGUCUGGAAUUGGGAUAUGAGUAUUAGUCCCGACAUUAGUGGAUGCCAGAGAUAGCCAGUCCUGACAUACAUGAUAUAUAGAGAAUUGGAUGGGGCCGUGUGGGGUCUUGUAUGGUUACUAAAGUCGAGAGCUGGUUGAAGCAGAAGAGCAGAACAUAUAGUCAGAAACAGACGUGAGAGAGACCAUGUGUCACUUAAGACUGAGAGAGACCAACUCCAGCUCCUGAUUUUUCUAGUUCCCAGUUUCUGGGAUUUCUGUUCCUUAUAACCAAAGGAUUUGUGAUUAGAACCCAUUGCCUCAAGAUUUCUAGGCCCCAAGGACCCCAGUUAGUCCUUCCAGGUGAACCCAAGAGGAGAAACAAGCAACACCUGUUGCCUCCCCUCUUUGAUGGCAGGGGAAGCAACAGGUGGUGCUGACCCCUGGGGGGCUUCUGUUACCUCCAGUCCCUCCCCGGGGAUGACCCUGACUGAGUACCCACAUGGCAGCAUGACUGCUCAAAGCUGAGCACCUCUAAUGACUGGGGAUGCGAGCAAAGGUGCCCAGUGGUACAGCUUUGAUCUGAGUGUUCAGAGCCACGUAGCAACCAACCCCAUGUGCCAGGUUUUCAUGAGCCUAGGCUGGAAUAGCAAGCCACUUAAAAGUGAAGUUCUGGUAUUCAGUAAUGCCAAAGAUUCACUGAGAGACAGAAAGGAAUAAUACUAGUAUAAUGAUGGCAUUGAAAUAAUGUUUUAUGUUUCACGAAACCCUUUUACUUAAAUCACCUCAUUGGAUUCUUGCCGCAAUCCUCUAUCUAUUCGGUCACUGAGCUUUGCUAAUUUUAUAUUCUGAACUUCCUUUGAUUCUGUCUCCCUCUGUUCUUGUAUUCUUAUUUCCUUAAGAAUAAAGUUCAAUGUGAAGAGCCUUGCAAAGUCACGCUAAGAAUUUUGAACUUUAUUCUUAAGGUAAUGUAAAGCCCUGGCCAAGAUUUGAGCAGGAGAGUAAUGUGUUUAGAUUUACAUUUUGAAUGUAUCACGGGGCUGCAGUGUGGAUAAUGGACUAAUGGAGGGGAAGAAUGGAAGCAGGCACAUCGGCAGCAAGGCUGCUGCAAACACCCAGCAGAGAGACACCGGUGGCUUGGACAAGGUAGAGAACUGGGUAUGAGGGCGGAAAGAAAAGUGCCCAAGUAUCUGACUUAAGCAAGGUGGGGAUGGUGUUUCCAUGAUAGAGGAUUAAGUGACUUCCAAAGAAUAUCUAAAUCAUACAACUUCAAUUCUUUUGAAGGAAUAUCUACUUUUAUUCUGAUGAUUUUAUGGGUGUAUACAUAUGUCCAAACUUAUUAAAUUGUACAUUUUAAAUAUGUGCAAUUUAUUAUAUGUCAGUCAAACCUCAAUAAAGCUGUUAAAAAUGGAAAAAAAAACCAUGUGGUCAGUAUUUGUGGUCUAAGUAGAACCUGAAGAAAAAUCAAUGUUUAACCAAGAUAGUAUUUGAAGAUCAGGUGUGUAAAUAAGUUAGUGAUGAUGCCCUGGAGUGUGAGUUUGACCUUCAAAUGUCUAACAUUUUUUUGCGGCUACUGUGAGGAAGUUUCCUGAUUUAUUUUUACUUC